rnacentral:rRNA from 1 species
UAUCAGUCAUGCAUAGCAUAUCAAUAAGCGGAGGAAAAGAAACUAACAAGGAUUCCCUUAGUAACGGCGAGUGAAGCGGGAAGAGCUCAAAUUUGAAAUCUUCAAGGCUCUACCUUGACGAAUUGUAGUUUAUAGAAGUGUUUUCUGUUAGUGGAGUGGCAAAAGUUCUUUGGAAUAGGGACAUCAUAGAGGGUGAGAAUCCCGUAUUUGGUCAUUCCUCCUAGCGUUGUGAUACACUUUCAACGAGUCGGAUUGUUUGGGAAUGCAGUCCAAAAUGGGUGGUAAAUUUCAUCUAAAGCUAAAUAUUGGCGAGAGACCGAUAGCGAACAAGUACCGUGAGGGAAAGAUGAAAAGAACUUUGAAAAGAGAGUUAAACAGUACGUGAAAUUGUCAAAAGGGAAGCGUUUGACACCAGUGUUGUUUUUCCGAAAAUCAAUUACGAAUGUUUUAGUUUUUGAGGAGUUAUGACUUCAUCGGCUUGCUCCUUUCUUUAUGAAACUUUCUUAAUGCACUUUUCGGUUAACAAGUCAACAUCAAUUUCUUUUGUUGUAAAAGGGUAUGAGGAAAGUGGCUUUCUUUUCGGAGAAAGUGUUUAUAGCCUUGUGCCUCUGCAAUCGGAGAGAUUGAGGUCUGCAGCGUAGAUCCUUCGGGGUUAGAUACAGUUUGUGCUAAGUUAUAGCUUUUCAUAGACAACUUGUUGACUAUGUUAGUCUUGUAGCUUACUCGCUGAUGCUAUUUUACCUACGCUUAGGAUGUUGAUCUCUCACAGUCGAGC